AUAUCAAUAAGCGGAGGAAAAGAAACUAACAAGGAUUCCCCUAGUAACGGCGAGUGAAGUGGGAAAAGCUCAACUUUGAAAUCUGGCAGCUUCGCUGUCCGAGUUGUAGUCUCGAGAAGUGUUUUCCGCGCUGGACCAUGUAUGAGUCUGUUGGAAUACAGCGUCAUAGAGGGUGAGAACCCCGUUCAUGACAUGCCUUCCAGUGCUUUGUGAUACAUUUUCGAUGAGUCGAGUUGUUUGGGAAUGCAGCUCAAAUUGGGUGGUAAAUUCCAUCUAAAGCUAAAUAUUGGGGAGAGACCGAUAGCAAACAAGUACCGUGAGGGAAAGAUGAAAAGCACUUUGGAAAGAGAGUUAAAAGUACGUGAAAUUGUUGAAAGGGAAACGCUUGAAGUCAGACGUGCGCAGCUUCGGCUAAUGCAGGCUAGCAUCGGUUUUGCGAGUCGGAUAAAGGUAAGGGGAAGGUGGCAGUCUCGGCUGUGUUAUAGCCCCUUACUGAAUACGGAUUGCGAGACCGAGGGAUGCAGCGCGCCGCAAGGCAAAGGGUCCGCCCUUUACGCGCUCAGGAUGCUGGUGAAAUGGCUUUAAACGA
rnacentral:rRNA from 1 species